UACGUAGGGGGCAAGCGUUGUCCGGAAUUAUUGGGCGUAAAGAGCGCGUAGGCGGUCCGAUAAGUCGGCUGUGAAAGUCAGGGGCUCAACCCUUGAAAGCCGGCCGAUACUGUCGGACUAGAGUCCGGAAGAGGCAACUGGAAUUCUCGGUGUAGCGGUGAAAUGCGUAGAUAUCGAGAGGAACACCUGCGGCGAAGGCGGGUUGCUGGGCUGACACUGACGCUGAGGCGCGAAAGCCAGGGGAGCGAACGGG
rnacentral:rRNA from 1 species